rnacentral:rRNA from 1 species
AGGACGAACGCUGGCGGCGUGCUUAACACAUGCAAGUCGAGCGGAAAGGCCCUUCGGGGUACUCGAGCGGCGAACGGGUGAGUAACACGUGAGUAAUCUGCCCCUAGCUCUGGGAUAGCUCCGGGAAACCGGGAUUAAUACCGGAUACGACCACUUUAGACAUCUGUUGUGGUGGAAAGAAUUUUGGCUAGGGAUGAGCUCGCGGCCUAUCAGCUUGUUGGUGGGGUAAUGGCCUACCAAGGCGACGACGGGUAGCCGGCCUGAGAGGGCGACCGGCCACACUGGGACUGAGACACGGCCCAGACUCCUACGGGAGGCAGCAGUGGGGAAUAUUGCGCAAUGGGCGAAAGCCUGACGCAGCGACGCCGCGUGGGGAUGAAGGCCUUCGGGUUGUAAACCCCUUUCAGCGAGGGACGAAGCGAAAGUGACGGUACCUGCAGAAGAAGCGCCGGCUAACUACGCGCAGCAGCCGC